rnacentral:piRNA from 1 species
UGCAACACACGUGCCCUGGACAGGUGGGA